rnacentral:rRNA from 1 species
GAUGAACGCUGGCGGCGUGCUUAACACAUGCAAGUCGAACGAUGAAGCCCAGCUUGCUGGGUGGAUUAGUGGCGAACGGGUGAGUAACACGUGAGUAACCUGCCCUUAACUCUGGGAUAAGCCUGGGAAACUGGGUCUAAUACCGGAUAGGAGCGUCCACCGCAUGGUGGGUGUUGGAAAGAUUUAUCGGUUUUGGAUGGACUCGCGGCCUAUCAGCUUGUUGGUGAGGUAAUGGCUCACCAAGGCGACGACGGGUAGCCGGCCUGAGAGGGUGACCGGCCACACUGGGACUGAGACACGGCCCAGACUCCUACGGGAGGCAGCGGUGGGGAAUAUUGCACAAUGGGCGAAAGCCUGAUGCAGCGACGCCGCGUGAGGGAUGACGGCCUUCGGGUUGUAAACCUCUUUCAGUAGGGAAGAAGCGAAAGUGACGGUACCUGCAGAAGAAGCACCGGCUAACUACGUG